UGGGGAAUAUUGGACAAUGGGCGCAAGCCUGAUCCAGCCAUGCCGCGUGUGUGAAGAAGGCCUUUUGGUUGUAAAGCACUUUAAGCGAGGAGGAGGCUACUUGGAUUAAUACUCUAGGAUAGUGGACGUUACUCGCAGAAUAAGCACCGGCUAACUCUGUGCCAGCAGCCGCGGUAAUACAGAGGGUGCGAGCGUUAAUCGGAUUUACUGGGCGUAAAGCGUGCGUAGGCGGCUUUUUAAGUCGGAUGUGAAAUCCCUGAGCUUAACUUAGGAAUUGCAUUCGAUACUGGGAAGCUAGAGUAUGGGAGAGGAUGGUAGAAUUCCAGGUGUAGCAGUGAAAUGCGUAGAGAUCUGGAGGAAUACCGAUGGCGAAGGCAGCCAUCUGGCCUAAUACUGACGCUGAGGUACGAAAGCAUGGGGAGCAAACAGG
rnacentral:rRNA from 1 species